rnacentral:rRNA from 1 species
AGCAGCCGCGGUAAUUCCAGCUCCAAUAGCGUAUAUUAAAGUUGUUGCAGUUAAAAAGCUCGUAGUUGAAUUUCGGGAUCAGCAGGUUGGUCGUGCCUCUGGUAUGCACUGGUUUCGCUGAUUCCUCCUUUCUGAAGAACUGUAAUGUCAUUAAUUUGGUGUUGCAGGGAAACAGGACUGUUACUUUGAAAAAAUUAGAGUGUUUAAAGCAGGCUAACGCUUGAAUACAUUAGCAUGGAAUAAUGAAAUAGGACGUUUGAUCCUAUUUUGUUGGUUUCUAGGAUUGACGUAAUGAUUAAUAGGGAUAGUUGGGGGCAUUAGUAUUCAAUUGUCAGAGGUGAAAUUCUUGGAUUUAUUGAAGACUAACUACUGCGAAAGCAUUUGCCAAGGAUGUUUUCAUUAAUCAAGAACGAAAGUUAGGGGAUCGAAGACGAUCAGAUACCGUCGUAGCCUUAACCAUAAACUAUGCCGACUAGGGAUCGGAUGAUGUUAAUUUUUUAAUGACUCA